rnacentral:rRNA from 1 species
AUGGAGUCCUCCGUGCUGGCCCUGGUGUGUUCGUGGAGCCACUGUACCAUGGCCAAGUCCCGCGGCCGUCGCCCCUGCAUCGCGCCAAGUCCCUGCGUCGUGCCCCUGUUGUUGUUGACGCUAAGUCCAACGGUUACCGAACAGGGAAUAUGCCGAGUACCGGGUCAACGAAAUCGCCAAGUUCGUCUUUUGAUGUCUCCGAAAUCGCCAAGUACCACGAUGUCAAGUACCUCUACGCACGGAUAA